rnacentral:lncRNA from 1 species
AUGAAGGCAAAGAAACCUCUUUGUUCACAGGUCCUUAAUAGCACCAAGCACGGUAACCUGUGCUGUAGAAAUGGACAGGAAGGCAAGUUAAAACCUAUGAUAAAAGACGUGCAGCACAGUAAAAGCAUGACUGAGGCAUUUUCAUCCCCCACACCUGUUUCAACUGACAACAAACUAGAUAUUGAAACGAAUGGCACACCCAAACCACGGAUGGAUCCCCCAAGAGGAAAAAUGCACAGCCACACCUCUGCACAGCUAGAGAAACCACCAUGUGAUGGGGGAGCAUGGGAGGCUGAUUUGAUGGUUACACAAAGCAGAUCCAGCAACACAGGGAACACACACGUGCCCUGUGAAAAGAAAGAGAAAAAUACCCCAGAUACAUUAGCAGAAUCGGUUCCACAGAGUAGCCAAUGCUUCCAUUUCAGUUCUCACCACAUGAAAAAUCUUGACCCUUGCAAAUCAGAAUCUAAAAUGCAUAGUUCAGAAGCCAGAGGGACUUGGAAUUUGUCUUGUGCAAUGCAAAAGAAGAGGCAAGAAAAACAUGUUAGAGAAACCAUCUUGGAACCUCUUUCUAGAAACGUGAUGAACUUUAUCCAAGUACAGACAUUGAAGACGAGUCUUCAUAACCAGGGGGGAAUUCAGUACAUGGUAGAUCCAAAGACUCCAUUGCCAAAAGCCCAGAAAUCAGAGACUGGCUCCACACAAUGUGGUGAUCCCUGGGAUGGUAAGCCUGGGAGGAAACGGGAGAGUCCUAUUUCUAAGGAAAAGGCACGGAAUCAAAAUGACUUCGUAAGAAAGGCCAAGAUACUGAUUCCGAAGGCAGAUAAGUCAUUAAUUGAGAUGCGUUAUCUUAACGUAAGACAGUGUAGUGGUUCAUUACAGCCAAGAGAAGACACGGCGCCAAGAGGGCAAAAGAAACAGCAAGAACCAUGCGUCCCAGGAACCAGCCAGGAUUCUGCUUAUGCCUAUGCACUUAAAUACCCUAAAAUCAUAAAACAUAGUGCUAAAGCAGAAACAGCAAGCAUGAAAAACACUACAUAUACCGAGCAGGUAAAAUCUAAGGCAAAGAAACCACCUGUUUCUCUGACGUGUAACACCAUAGGAUAUGGAAGCCAAAGCAACAAAGAGGACAUGAGACGUUACAUCCAGAAACAGAAGGGGUUCCGGCAAGCUCAAGCUGAGGCCGAGUUGGUUCUGAACACUAUUUGUGACUGUGGACUUAUUCCAUCUAAAAUUAGAGAGUUGAUGGAAAGGAAGAGGGAAAAAGGCAAGCCACCAAAGCUGGUACACAGCCCUCCGCCGCCCACGCUGGAGAAAUCCCUCAGCCAAAGACAGAUGGCAUUUUCACAGUCCAUGCGUAAGAGUGCUAUAUCAAGAAAUAGUAAAACACUGAGAUGGUACGUUGGAGAGCAAAAAGAAAACCAAGUCGCUUCAGCAGACCUUCUCCCACAGUGUAGAUACCGAUUUGUGAUUAGCCAGCAGCUGAAAAAAGAAACGGACCAUGUCAAAUUCACAGUAGACUUGAAAAGAGAAGUAUAUCCUGAUGUCCUCUCACAAAAGAGGGAAACCAGUGGCGCUAUGUCUGACAUCUCGAAUAUUAGAAUGCAUACAAAACAUGAAUUCCUUACUGCACAGAGAGCAAAGAAGGGAGAUGAGGCCAUUGUCCAAGGAUCCGUUUCAGCUCCAAAGGGGAGAGAAGUAUUUGAGAAAACUGACAUGUCACUAAGUUCAGAAGGACAGACUGUGUUAAUUCCAGAGUUGGCAGCUUCCCAACUGAAGAUUUGCAAGAAGCAGGAACUGCUAAAACAAGGAAGCAUUUCAUAUCUGGAGCCUAGUACCUUCCCCCUUGCGGAAACUCCUCAUCCAGAAAACACAGGAAAGGUCCCUGAGGACGAUGCAUACACUGAGAGAAAAAGUGUUUCACAUCUGUUGAGAAGAGAAGGAUUAAAAGAAACUGAUAUCUUACAGGGUUCAAAAGGACAGACAUUUCUUUGUACAAAUGUAGAGGUCCAGCAAAAUGUUUCUGCAGCACAGAAAGAUUCUGUAUCUUGCCCCAGUGGGGAACCUCUCCUUGUUAAACAGACAGUAGAUGCAACAAGGAAAAAAAUGUCAGCAUCCCAUUUGUUUCAAAUGCAAAUCCAUGGAGAAAAGAGAAAUCAAAGUUAA